ensembl:lncRNA
GCUGUAAAUUUAAUAUAUAUAUAUAUAUAUUAAUUUAUAUUGAUAUGAUAUUGUAUGUUCGAUUGUAAUUGUAAGAUACUAUGAUACAUUGUACAUGCAGCUUGUUUUAUUGUGCAUUGAUAGUUUUAUUAGAAAAAAAAGCGUUUUACGCAUUUGAAAUUAUAGUAACGCUAAUAGAACCGCGCUUGAGAUGCACGAACGAAAUGGGCGGGAAAAGAGCGCGGCAGUCACGUGCGAGGAAAGGCGGCAGGAUUGAACUCGUUUUCGAGCUCGUCAGAGAAGAAUCGGUUAUAAAUACAGCGGAGGAGUCGAUGUUCGUGUCUUCUCUUGAUUCAGGUGACGUCUCCAAGCACCUCAGACUUUUUGAUGAUCCUGAAGCGUCAAAUCAAGUUGAGAGAUCCCAUUUCAAUCAGAAAGCGGAAGUAAAAUGGCUUACUAACGCUGCUUCAUGUUGACUUUAAAGAAGAAGAGCUUGAGAACCACAUAAUGUUUCCAAGAAUGGCUAAAUAAUAUUUCCACAGGCAGAUUCCUCUAAGAAGUGGAUGCACCCAAUGUGGGCAGAAGAUCCCUAAAUAGAAACUCUUAUGAAAGGCAACAUCAAAUAGUGGUUUGGGCUACAAAAUGCCUGAUCUAUCAUACCACCUCAGACUUAAACGCUCGCACAGAUUUUCUGUUUUCACGUGCCAAAACUAUCAUAAAAAUGGACUUUUUCCAAACCCUUCCAAGGCAGUGUCAGGUAAAUCUUUUCCGCUUGUAGAAAGAUGUUUCAUUGUAAAUUUAGAUGGUGUUUCUUACAAGCAGUCAGGUGACUGGAAAGCCUUUCUCCAACGGAUUGCACCCACGGGGCUUCUGGUUCCUAGGGUCUUGCCGUCAUGUUUUAAGGGCCCGUCGGUCUUGCGGUGCCUUUUGUCCGUUCCAUUUUAGGCAGUGGAAGCAUUAGAGAAGAAGAGUGCUGACAGUGGGCAUGCCAACACAGUCCUACAGCUUCCAUAAACAAAACCUUCGGAUUAGUCAGGCCGUAUUUAACUGGCAUCAGCGGAUCAUCAAAGUAAACGCCAAGGAUCCCUGCAACAAUAAAACAUACGUGACGCUCCUUCA